rnacentral:rRNA from 1 species
GACAGAGGGUGCAAACGUUGUUCGGAAUUACUGGGCGUAAAGCGUGCGUAGGCGGCUGCGCAAGUCGGGUGUGAAACCCCGGGGCUCAACCCCGGAACUGCAUCCGAUACUGCGUGGCUAGAGGUAGGUAGGGGAGAUCGGAAUUCCUGGUGUAGCGGUGAAAUGCGCAGAUAUCAGGAGGAACACCGGUGGCGAAGGCGGAUCUCUGGGCCUUACCUGACGCUCAGGCACGAAAGCUAGGGGAGCGAACAGG